AGUUGAAUAAUAGAAGUACGAAUAAAUAAUUUGAAUAAUAGAUCUUAGUCUAGAUCUAGGUGAAAAUUGAAUAUUUGUCACAGGCCUACUCGAACUCGUACUCGUCGGGUUGGGGUUCCUUCCAUGGCUUCUGUGCAUUUACUGUGGGCCCCUCCCCCAUAUUUGUACAUUCCUAGCUGCUACAUGUAGUAGUUGGGCGUACGUAGCUCAGCUAUCAGUGCAGUAUAGCUGUACAUAAAUCUAGAACAUUAAUGGCUCAAGAAGGUAGAGAUACAGCUGAGUUCAAAGCCUUUGUGUCUUGCACUAGCAAGAUUGUGACCACUGUCAAAGGUGAUCUAAGCAUUGCAGACAAGCUACUUGAAGAAAGACUGAUAUCUGACGAAACUUACGAUGAAAUAGCACUGUCUAAUACAAUUACAGAGAGAACAAAGGCUAGAAAGAUAUUUACUAGUGUCAGGGAAAAAAUUAAGCUAAGUACAGGAAACUUUAAUGUCUUUUGCGAAAUUUUGGAAGAAUCUUCAUUUUACUUGGAUUUACUCUCAAGGCUGAAAGAAAAACAACAGGCUAUUGUGACUUUGGACAAUGCAGAGAGUACAACUCAAAAAGUGAAAAAAAUGUGGGAAUAUGGAGUCGGAGUUACUGUAUUUAUUAUUGCAGUAUUGCUUGCACGUUUGCUGGCAGCUUAUAAUCCGUCUGAAUUAGAAAUGGUUCAAACUCUGAAAGAACAGUACAAAAAUCUUCAAGAAAUCGACUUUGAGCAGUACCUUCCUAAAAGCAUGAACCCCAAACAAAUCCCAUUUAUCACUCCUAAUGUCAAAUUGGUGGAUGAAUACCUGUCUGAGGAUACAUUUUUAAGCGUACAACAAUUACUGGAAUCAGUUGAGAGCGGUACAAGGCUCGCUAUCACAGGUAGACCAGGAGUCGGUAAAUCUACGCUGGCCCGCCACAUUGUUAAGUUAUGGGCUAAACAUGAAGCUCUCCAGCAGUUCAGCACAAUAUUCCACAUAUGCCUGGGCAAAGCCAGUACACCAAUUAUGGACAUAGAGCAGUUGGUAGAAGAAGAAUGUCUUGGUCUUGUGGACUCUGAAGAUCCAGAACUAGAGGUACAUCAACUUUUGCAGGGAAUUAAAACGUUGCGGGGGGAAAAUACAGUGUUUGUUCUGGAUGGUUUCGAUGAGUAUUUUCCCAACUACGCUGAAGAAAAAAAUGAACUUGUACUCAGAUUAAUAAAAGGUACUUUCUUGCCCAAAUCUGUCCUUAUUAUUAUGUCCAGGCCCAGAAGUGUAGACGAUGUUAGGAGUUACUUCAAAAAAGUGUUUGAAGUAACAGGAUUUCGGCGGCUUGAUAUUGAGACAUCUCUCUUCAAUUUAGGUUUGCCAUUGCGAACUUUAAUUGAGGACUACUUUGACAACAAUCCCAAUGUUAAGAAAAUGUGCUAUUUGCCCCUUCAUAUGACUAUGAUAAUAUACUUGGCUUCACUAAAAGAAGAUGCUUUGUCAGGAAUAGAUAGUGAAACAAAAAUAUAUACAAAUUUUCUCUAUCUAACCAUCGAUCACUAUCACAAACGACACGGCCUCCGUUCUUCAACUCUAAAUGAUUGUUUUGACCAUAAAUCUGCCGAUGAUUCACUCUGUCUUCAGUUCACAUCUAUUUGUGCAUUAGCAUUCAAUGCAACCAUUCAUCACCAACAAACAUUUAGCUCAAAGGAACUCAGAAAUAUAUCCAUUGAUGCUGAUACCCUUCAAAAGUUGAGUCUCUUUAACAUAAGGAAGGAAAAUAGGAGGCAGGGUAGUGUUGAUGUGUUUUCGUUCUCUCAUCAAACAUUUCGAGAUUUUAUGUCUGCGAACUAUCUCAUUCUUCUCCCAAGAAACGAGCAGCGUAAAAUGAUUAUAAAUUACGCAAAUCAAACAAAUUUACGUGAUUUAGUUUGGAAAUUCUUUUUUGGACUUCUCGGAGAAUUUAAAGCACAUGAUCAAGUACUUCGUAGUCUGUUUCGAGAUUACGUAAGCAGUGGUGGAUAUGAGCAACUACCAACAAAUUAUUAUGAAGUUGAUCUCUAUCCUUUAGCCUAUGCUUUUGAAACUGGUAUGCGUCAUCACAAAUUUGUUGAUCUGCUUGACUAUGCAAGAAUUGUUGGACCUGGCAAUAACCACUCUCUCCAAAUUCAUAUUCAAGAGCCAAUGGAAUUAAGAUCAUUUUUAAACAUUGAAGAAGGUGGCAAUGCAAAUAUAAAUUUCCUUUUCAUGAAAAACACCCUAAAAUGGACCCCAGUUAUGCACAUAAAAAUAGAACUAAAAAUACAGCCCAAUCUGAAUCCUGACCCGAAUUUUUGCACGAAAUAUUUAUGGAUAAUAUUGAAUCAAAGUUUUAUGGAAACGAAGCUACAAAAGGAAAUGUUCAAAAACUAUUGCACCCCAACUCAAAUGGGUGCAAUGAAUACCUCCACGGUCAUUUUGGAAUUACAAUACUUUAAACCAAAGAAAGAUGUUGUUGAUCCUCAGAUAGUUUUCAAUAUGUUGCAGAGCGCAAUUUUAUCUGACACUCUGCUUGCUUUUCACUUAAAGGCUCAGAUGAUGAGUUAUCUGUUUACUAAAAAGCGAAAUAGUGGUCUGAGAAAAAAUAAAAUCCUGGAAAAAAUCUAUGUUAAUACGAAGUAUAAUGAUAAUAAUUCAGAUGAUCUCAGCAAAGAAGAGUUUACCUUUAUACAAUUGUGGAACCACUUUCAGAAAUAUGAGACAAGAUAUAGAAUUUACUCUAGAGGUCAGUAUGAUUUGGAUUUUUCAGAGUUAAGAGAAUUGAAAAUCCAGCAGUUGCUUCAUGACAUUGAUUUAGAGGAUGUAUGUCACGCUUUAGGAUCGGCAACAAAACUUGAAGUCCUAGAUUUAUCUUCCAAUCAGCUUUUUCAACCUAAUGCUUUAAUUGAGCUUUUCAAUUCGCUUUCGCAUCUCAGAGUGCUUGACCUUUCCGACAAUAAUAUCAACCUAAAUUUUAUUGCUAAAGGAUUUAAAUUUCUCAAAGGACUUAAUGAGCUUAGUAUGUCAGGAAACAUUAUCGGCAACAACGUACAUAAUUUACAUUCAUGGAAAGAAUCGUUUGGCUCUAAUUUAAUGAACCUAAAAGAAUUGAAAAGCCUAGAUUUGUCCCGGAUAAUGUACGGGAGCAUUCCAAAUCUUGUUCGAGGUUUAAAAUAUUUGAAAAACUUGGAACAACUGAAUCUAUCCAGCUGUAUGGUUACUGACCAAAAUAUGGAGGAACUCAUGACUUUCAGCAUGUUAAAAAAGGUUGAAGUGCUUGAUUUAUCUCACAACGCUAUAGAAUUGUUUUCACGUCAACUUACACUUGUAUUGAAUCAGAUCAAAGAAGUCAAUUUAUCUCAUAAUCUACUAAACCUACCCAUAUCAAAACUUGGAGUAUUUCAGUAUCCAUGUUUUCAAAGAAGACCAAAAUUAAGGAAAAUAAACUUGUCACAUAACUUUCUGUGCUGUGAUGAUUUGGAGUUUAAAUUGUUCAUGAACAACUUUCUGGAUUUACCUAUCUUACAAGAAGUAGAUUUAUCCGACAAUACGUUGUUUUUUGGAAAGAAUACCUUCAGUAAUGCUUCAGGGGAUCUCACACUAAAAAGUAAAACAAUCAAGUUAUGCUCACUAUCUGAUUCAGAAACAUUGAUAAAGACUGUUAAGCUAAAAAAUUUCUUCUGGAGGACUGACAUAGCUACUAUGGCAUAUGCUGCUUGUGUUUGUAAUUUUGCUGGAUUUGAAGAGAAUUAUCAGGAAAAAUGUUCGAAGGUUUACAAGGAAAAAGCCAACUCAAAUACUACCAAUGCGGAAUUGACUUAUAUACACGAAAAAGUAGCUGAUGGGCAUCUUUUAGGCAUUUCAAGAAAUCAAGAGAAGAUGUAUUCAAUAAUAUCAGAACGUGCACGACGUCUCCAUGCACUAGAACAUAUUGGCGAUAUAUUCUCAGGCUCUAGAACAAAUAAAUCCUUAAGUAUAACUUAAAUUGGCCAAAGUUACUUCAUGUUUCUAAUACAUGCACGAGUUAUAGCUAAUUACAUUUCACAUUGCGUAUAUACAGUAAAGUUUUUUCUUUGUGAAC